CCUACGGGUGGCAGCAGUGAGGAAUAUUGGUCAAUGGACGAGAGUCUGAACCAGCCAAGUAGCGUGAAGGAUGACUGCCCUACGGGUUGUAAACUUCUUUUAUAAAGGAAUAAAACGAGGCACGUGUGCCUUUUUGCAUGUACUUUAUGAAUAAGGAUCGGCUAACUCCGUGCCAGCAGCCGCGGUAAUACGGAGGAUCCGAGCGUUAUCCGGAUUUAUUGGGUUUAAAGGGAGCGGAGAUGGGUGGUGAAGUCAGUGGGGAAAGUUUGCGGCUCAACCGUAAAAUUGCAAUUGAUACUGGCAGUCUUGAGUACAGUUGAGGUAUGCGGAAUUCGUGGUGUAGCGGUGAAAUGCUUAGAUAUCACGAAGAACCCCGAUUGCGAAGGCAGCUUACUAAAGUGUGACUGACAUUGAUGCUCGAAAGUGUGGGUAUCAAACAGGAUUAGAUACCCCUGUAGUC
rnacentral:rRNA from 1 species